UCAUCGUAAGCCGGUGAUUGGCCUGAGG
rnacentral:piRNA from 1 species